AGGCACUCCGUGGCCACCUCUGCAGCUCCUGGCCCGUGGCCUCAGGCGUCUGGUGGCAGUGCCAGAGCAAAGCCAGCUUGUUCAGAUCCGGGGCUGCCGAGAUGCCGCCUAAGCAGUCCCUUUGGCAACGAGUGACAUAC
ensembl:snoRNA